rnacentral:rRNA from 1 species
AACGAACGCUGGCGGCAUGCCUAACACAUGCAAGUCGAACGAGACCUUCGGGCCUAGUGGCGCACGGGUGCGUAACGCGUGGGAACCUGCCCUUAGGUUCGGAAUAACUCCCCGAAAGGGGUGCUAAUACCGGAUAAUGUCUUCGGACCAAAGAUUUAUCGCCUUUGGAUGGGCCCGCGUUGGAUUCGCUAGUUGGUAGGGUAAAAGCCUACCAAGGCGACGAUCCAUAGCUGGUCUGAGAGGAUGAUCAGCCACACUGGGACUGAGACACGGCCCAGACUCGUACGGGAGGCAGCAGUGGGGAAUAUUGGACGAGGGGCGAAAGCCUGAUCCAGCAGUGCCGCGUGAGUGAUGAAGGCCUUAGGGUUGUAAAGCUCUUUUACCCGGGAUGAUAAUGACAGUACCGGGAGAAUAAGCUCCGGCUAACUCCGUG